rnacentral:rRNA from 1 species
AGAGUUUGAUCCUGGCUUAGGAUGAACGCUAGCUACAGGCCUAACACAUGCAAGUCGAGGGGCAGCAUGGGAGAAGCUUGCUUUUCCUGAUGGCGACCGGCGAAUGGGUGAGUCACGCGUGUCCAACCUGCCUUCAGCCCGGGGAUAGCCCUUGGAAAUGAGGAUUAAGACCCGAUAGAUGGAAGUUCCGCAUGGCGCUUCCAUGAAACUGGACUGAAGAUGGGGACGCGUCGGGUUAGCUUGACGGCGGGGCAACGGCCCACCGUGGCGACGAUCCGCAGGGGUUCUGAGAGGAAGGUCCCCCACACUGGCACUGAGGCACGGGCCAGACUCCUACGGGAGGCAGCAGUGAGGAAUAUUGGUCAAUGGCCGAGAGGCUGAACCAGCCAAGUAGCCGUGCAGGAUGACGGCCCUACGGGUUGUAAACUGCUUUUGCGGGAGGAUAAAAGACGCCACGUGUGGCGUUUUGCAGGUAUCCCGUGAAUAAGGACCGGCUAAUUCCGUGCCAGCAGCGGC